AUACGUAGGGGGCGAGCGUUGUCCGGAAUGAUUGGGCGUAAAGGGCGCGUAGGCGGCCUGUUAAGUCUGGAGUGAAAGUCCUGUUUUCAAGAUGGGAAUUGCUUUGGAUACUGAUGGGCUUGAGUGCAGGAGAGGUUAUCGGAAUUCCCGGUGUAGCGGUGAAAUGCGUAGAGAUCGGGAGGAACACCAGUGGCGAAGGCGGGUAACUGGACUACAACUGACGCUGAGGCGCGAAAGUGUGGGGAGCAAACAGGAUUAGAUACCCUGGUAGUCCACACUGUAAACGAUGAAUGCUAGGUGUAAGAGGUAUCGACCCCUUUUGUGCCGGAGUUAACACAAUAAGCAUUCCGCCUGGGGAGUACGGCCGCAAGGUUGAAACUCAAAUGAAUUGGCGGGG
rnacentral:rRNA from 1 species